rnacentral:rRNA from 1 species
AUUGAACGCUGGCGGCAGGCCUAACACAUGCAAGUCGAGCGGAGCGGCGGACGGGUGAGUAAUGCCUAGGAAUCUGCCUGGUAGUGGGGGAUAACGUCCGGAAACGGGCGCUAAUACCGCAUACUAUCAGAUGAGCCUAGGUCGGAUUAGCUAGUUGGUGGGGUAAAGGCCUACCAAGGCGACGAUCCGUAACUGGUCGGAGAGGAUGAUCAGUCACUCUGAAACUGAAAAAGGGUCCAAGCUCGUACGGGAGGUAGCUGGGGGGAAAUUGCGACAAGGGGGGAAAGCCUGAUCCAGCCAUGCCGCGUGGGUGAAGAAGUUCUUCGGUUUGUAAAGCUCGUGAAGUUGGGAGGCGUUACUCGCAGAAGAAGCACCGGCUAACUCCGUGCCAGCAGCCGCGGUAAUAC